GGAACAGGCCCAGCAAGCACAGCAGCCGGCCCUGAAUCGCCAUCGCGCUCGCCGCCUCCCGCCGCCGUUCAAAGUUGGCAGAAAAGUAAGACAGCAAAGAAUUCACACACAGAAACUUGAUUUCUAUCCAGUGGAUUGAGACACAAUCUUGCUAGCUGAUUCUUAAAAGGCAUGGUGCAGUGAAAACAAUUCAGUCAAAUAAAGAAUACAGAAAGAAACGUAUCACAGAGCCUGGAGGAAAUGAACAUGGCAGGAUUAAGUGUACAAGGAAUAUAGUACAUACAGCCUACAAUCAAGAGCUCAGAAAAUGGACUGAUAAACAGAUGGAUGGAGAACCAGACCGAAAGACAGAUAGAUGGACGGAUAGACAGAUGGAUUGAAAGGUUGAUGGAGAGAAAGAUGGAAUGACACAGAAAAUGUGGUAAAAUGUUAAAAUUAAUAAAUUUGGGUAUCUUGGGGGAGUGGGGAAUAGGGUAUGGUGUAGUUCUAUGUAUAGGGUAUGUAUUGUUUUUGUAAUUGUCCUGUAAGUUUGAAAGUAUUUCAAAAUAAAACAUUUAAAAUUAAAAAAAAUAAAAAUAAUCACUGAUUUUAGGAGAAGAGAACAUGCUGAAACUCUAGACCUGGUAGCUAUACAGACCUCAGCUCCUGGAAUC